rnacentral:lncRNA from 1 species
GUGGAGAGGUGAGUGAAGGGGAUGGGAACUGACCCCUCGGAGUCUGGGCAUAGCCCACUUCAUUUAAUUUGAGAGGAAACUUUGUAAAAGAUAGUUAGGAGAAAAUUACCAGAAUUAGCAUUUCCCUUAACCUGCCAGCAUUCAGAUAGUUAAUAGACUAUUUAGGGCUGCUUCCUGCCAUUGUCCUCUUUAGUUAUAUAUAUGUCAAGACUGAUUC